UACAGAUUUACGGGCAAGAUGGUGCAUAC
rnacentral:piRNA from 1 species